GGAGAAAUACUCAAGUGGCUGAAGAGGUGCCCCUGCUAAGGGUAUAGGUCGUUUAUAGCGGCGCGAGGGUUCAAAUCCCUCUUUCUCCGUCA
rnacentral:tRNA from 1 species